UCCCUGGAGGACUAGUGGUUAGGCCUUGGCCUGGUCAUCGCCACAGCCCGGGUUCGAUUCCCAGCCAGGGAA